GACGAACGCUGGCGGCGUGCUUAACACAUGCAAGUCGAACGGAAAGGCCCUGCUUUUGUGGGGUGCUCGAGUGGCGAACGGGUGAGUAACACGUGAGUAUCCUGCCCUUGACUUUGGGAUAUCUUCAGGAAACUGGGGCUAAUACCGGAUAGGAGCUACUGCUGCAUGGUGGGGGUUGGAAAGUUUCGGCGGUUGGGGAUGGACUCGCGGCUUAUCAGCUUGUUGGUGGGGUAGUGGCUUACCAAGGCUUUGACGGGUAGCCGGCCUGAGAGGGUGACCGGCCACAUUGGGACUGAGAUACGGCCCAGACUCCUACGGGAGGCAGCAGUGGGGAAUAUUGCACAAUGGGCGGAAGCCUGAUGCAGCAACGCCGCGUGCGGGAUGACGGCCUUCGGGUUGUAAACCGCUUUCGCCUGUGACGAAGCGUGAGUGACGGUAAUGGGUAAAGAAGCACCGGCUAACUACGUG
rnacentral:rRNA from 1 species